rnacentral:rRNA from 1 species
UGAGGAAUAUUGGUCAAUGGGCGAGAGCCUGAACCAGCCAAGUCGCGUGAAGGAAGACUGCCUUAUGGGUUGUAAACUUCUUUUAUACAGGAAUAAAAGGCUUACGUGUAGGCCAUUGCAAGUACUGUAUGAAUAAGCAUCGGCUAACUCCGUGCCAGCAGCCGCGGUAAUACGGAGGAUGCGAGCGUUAUCCGGAUUUAUUGGGUUUAAAGGGUGCGCAGGCGGGCUUUUAAGUCAGCGGUGAAAUCUGGACGCUUAACGUCCAAACUGCCGUUGAAACUGGGAGUCUUGAGUAUGGAUGAAGUAGGCGGAAUUCGUUGUGUAGCGGUGACAUGCAUAGAUAUAACGAGGAACUCCGAUUGCGUAGGCAGCUUACUAAGCCAUAAACUGACGCUCAUGCACGAAAGCGUGGGGAUCAAACAGGAUUAGAUACCCUGGUAGUCCACGCCGUAAAACGAUGAUUACUAGUUGUAUGCGAUAUGAUAGUAUGUGACUAAGCGAAAGCGAUAAGUAAUCCACCUGGUGAGUACGCCGGCAACGGUGAAACUUAAAUGAUUGACGGGGUCAUA